rnacentral:rRNA from 1 species
CAUUACUGAGUUUACGCUCUAUAACCCUUUGUGAACAUACCUAUAACUGUUGCUUCGGCGGGUAGGGUCUCCGCGACCCUCCCGGCCUCCCGCCCCCGGGCGGGUCGGCGCCCGCCGGAGGAUAACCAAACUCUGAUUUAACGACGUUUCUUCUGAGUGGUACAAGCAAAUAAUCAAAACUUUUAACAACGGAUCUCUUGGUUCUGGCAUCGAUGAAGAACGCAGCGAAAUGCGAUAAGUAAUGUGAAUUGCAGAAUUCAGUGAAUCAUCGAAUCUUUGAACGCACAUUGCGCCCGCCAGCAUUCUGGCGGGCAUGCCUGUUCGAGCGUCAUUUCAACCCUCAAGCUCUGCUUGGUGUUGGGGCCCUACAGCUGAUGUAGGCCCUCAAAGGUAGUGGCGGACCCUCCCGGAGCCUCCUUUGCGUAGUAACUUUACGUCUCGCACUGGGAUCCGGAGGGACUCUUGCCGUAAAACCCCCAAUUUUCCAAAGGUUGACCUCGGAUCAGG